UUGCCAACUAACAUGCACAGCUGACACGCUCAACGUUGUGCUGCCCACAAUCCCCACCCUGGCUGUGAGGGACGCUCCCAGUCUGCUUGAUCUCUGUUUUGUUUGAAUUUUUAUAAGGGAUCCAGCAGAGGAUUGGAGAGGUGGACCAUGAAGAGACAAGUAACUUCUCAGAGAAGGGCACCCGCUUGCUGGUCUGAUGGAUGGCGCCUCCUAAGUAAGGCAUAUGAUGAAAUUCUGGCCAACGGAUGUGAGGGAAAGUGACGUGGACAACUUCCAGGCUAUGACCUCAAGGGAAGAGGCGUUCCCUUCACCCCCCCAAUGCUUUCCACUUCUUCUUGCUGGCCGGAGAUGGACAGAGCUGUGCACCAUCUGGAACUAAGUGAUGAAGACAACACCAUAGGGGCUGCGGAGCAAUAGGAUAAAAGGAAGCUUUGUUCCCAAGAAUGACUUCAGGUGGCAGUUCCCUACUUUCAGCUCAGACAAGUGCACGUGAGAGAAACUAAAAUUCUAUUUCAUUUAAGCCACUGUAAUUUUAGGUCACUGAGAUUAAGCCACACCUAUAUCCUGUUCUAACCACUCUACUGCCCAUGUCUCUCUUAUAGAGAUUGUGGGGAACAAAUGUCCCAGCUAUGAUUUUGAUCAUGUGAUUUCAAAGCUUCUGCCAGGUCUUUAAACAGCUGAAGGGCAGACCCCCAGAAUGAGAGGCCUCUGCUUAGCAAAGCACUUUGGUGAGGGGGCAGAUCUGCAAAAGUAGACCUGAACUUAGCAGGUUUAAGGAAUAGAGAGCUAGAGGCUAUGCAUAAGGAGAAAGAAUCAAGUUUGCAGGAAGACUGGCUUCUAGAGAGGGAAAGAGGGCCUGGAGAAGGGACAAGGAGAAACCUGAGAAAGUGGCAUCAAGAAAGGCCUCAGAGAUGAUAUGACCAGCAGGGUCCUGUUCUGUGCCAUGACCUCCCCACUGUUCCAAGUACUACUGUACACCACGGCCACGUGUUGAUGGGGCUCUGGAGAAAAUGAAGGAUUUA